rnacentral:lncRNA from 1 species
GGGUCUAGGAUUUGGGUUUGAGUUUAGAGUUUACGGUUUGGGUUUAGGGUCUAGGAUUUGGGUUUAUAGUAUAGAGUUUGGGUUUAAGGUUUACUAUUUGGUUUUAGGGUAUAUGGUUUGGGUUUAGUAUUUAAGGGUUUGAUUUAGAUUUACGGUUUAUAAUUUAGGAUUUAGGGUUUUGCUAGGCAUCAUUCUUUUUUCAACUAUUUUAAA